rnacentral:rRNA from 2 species
CCCCGGUAAACGGCGGCCGUAACUAUAACGGUCCUAAGGUAGCGAAAUUCCUUGUCGGGUAAGUUCCGACCUGCACGAAUGGCGUAAUGAUGGCCAGGCUGUCUCCACCCGAGACUCAGUGAAAUUGAACUCGCUGUGAAGAUGCAGUGUACCCGCGGCAAGACGGAAAGACCCCGUGAACCUUUACUAUAGCUUGACACUGAACAUUGAGCCUUGAUGUGUAGGAUAGGUGGGAGGCUUUGAAGUGUGGACGCCAGUCUGCAUGGAGCCGACCUUGAAAUACCACCCUUUAAUGUUUGAUGUUCUAACGUGGACCCGUAAUCCGGGUUGCGGACAGUGUCUGGUGGGUAGUUUGACUGGGGCGGUCUCCUCCUAAAGAGUAACGGAGGAGCACGAAGGUUGGCUAAUCCUGGUCGGACAUCAGGAGGUUAGUGCAAUGGCAUAAGCCAGCUUGACUGCGAGCGUGACGGCGCGAGCAGGUGCGAAAGCAGGUCAUAGUGAUCCGGUGGUUCUGAAUGGAAGGGCCAUCGCUCAACGGAUAAAAGGUACUCCGGGGAUAACAGGCUGAUACCGCCCAAGAGUUCAUAUCGACGGCGGUGUUUGGCACCUCGAUGUCGGCUCAUCACAUCCUGGGGCUGAAGUAGGUCCCAAGGGUAUGGCUGUUCGCCAUUUAAAGUGGUACGCGAGCUGGGUUUAGAACGUCGUGAGACAGUUCGGUCCCUAUCUGCCGUGGGCGCUGGAGAACUGAGGGGGGCUGCUCCUAGUACGAGAGGACCGGAGUGGACGCAUCACUGGUGUUCGGGUUGUCAUGCCAAUGGCACUGCCCGGUAGCUAAAUGCGGAAGAGAUAAGUGCUGAAAGCAUCUAAGCACGAAACUUGCCCCGAGAUGAGUUCUCCCUGAGACUUAGAGUCUCCUGAAGGAACGUUGAAGACGACGACGUUGAUAGGCCGGGUGUGUAAGCGCAGCGAUGC